UCUCCGUAGGUGAACCUGCGGAGGGAUCAUUACUGAGUGAGGGUCUCCGGGCCCGACCUCCAACCCUUUGUGAACCAAACUUGUUGCUUCGGGGGCGACCCUGCCGACGACUUCGUCGCCGGGCGCCCCCGGAGGUCUUCUAAACACUGCAUCUUUGCGUCGGAGUUAAAGUAAAUUAAACAAAACUUUCAACAACGGAUCUCUUGGUUCCAGCAUCGAUGAAGAACGCAGC
rnacentral:misc_RNA from 1 species